AUGCCAAGCCUGUGGCCUGCAGCUGGGCACCUCUCUGCACCUGGACCUGCAUUCUCCCUCCAGACCAUUCAUCUUGCUCUGAGAGGUCUUGGCCUCCCCAGAUCCCAGCUCUCCUGGAGAAGAGGGGGCACCUCUGUUCUCCAGAGCCCGCCUCCAGGCAGGGCCACGCCAACACAGGUGCCGGGCCCUCAGAGAGCCAGCAGCCCUGACUCUGGACCAGACUUCCUUGCCUGGGACUCUGGAGGAUGCUCCCUUGCUGCUGGAGCUGCAGAAGCUGCCGGGAUUGGCCAACACAGACUUGAGUGCCCCGAACCCCAACAUCCAGGUGAGAGUACAGGGGGCUCUGGGCCCUGGACUCCUGGAGAGGAAGUGGGCUGAACAGCACAGCUCUGAGGUCAGGCGUCCCAUCCUGUAGUCCUUGGAGGGCUGGGGUCCUGUGGGGAGCAGAGAAGGUCACUCCCGAGCACCCCCUGUGGAGCAGGGGAGAAGCACUUCCUCCCCCACUGUUUUUUUUUUUUUUUUUGGCCUUUUUAGGGCCACACCUGUGGCAUUUGGAGGUUCCCAGGCUAGGGGUCAAAUCGGAGCUGCAGCUGUGGACCUAUGCCAGAGCCACAGCCACACCAGAUCUGAGCUGUGUCUGCAACCAGCUCACAGCAAGACCAGACCUUCAAUCCACUGAGUGAGGCCAGGGAUUGAACCCACGUCCUCAUGGAUACCAGUCGUGUUUGUAACCUGCUGAGCCACGACAGGAACUCCCUUGCUCCCCCACUUUCUCACUGCUUACCAGGAGCAAAUAACUCUCAGAGCCGCUGUUUCCUAGGCCAUAGCAAGGCACCAACAGCCCAGCCUGGCGGGGCUGUCAGGACCAAACCAGCAGAGAAGUUUCCUUGGGCUGCAGGGAAUCCCUGGAAUAAGGGGGGAGGCCCAGGAGAAAGCCUGAAGGUCUGAUCCCUGCCCAGGCCCACCCCUUCCUGCAGGCCCCUCAAGAAUGGAGUGGGCUGGUGGGGUAGGGGGCCUGCCCGCUGGAGGGGCUUUGUGGGAGAGAAAACCAGUGGGCUUGGUGGAAUUCCAGUUUACAUGCUUCACUGGCAGUCCAAAUCCGUAAUGAUAAUAAUCCCUGCUUUUUGUAUACCAUCUACAGCUUACAAAACACUUUCACCAAAAGAGAAAAAGGUCACAAAAGUAUACAACACAAAGCAUUCUAAAAUUGUUUAGGGCUUCCGUUGUGGCUCAGUGGUAACAAAUCUGACUAGCAUCCAUGAGGACUCGGGUUUGAUUCCUGACCUCGCUUAGUGAGUUAAGGAUCUGGCAUGGCUGUGGCUGUGGUGUAGGCUGGCAGCUGUAGCUCUGAUUCCACCCAUAGUCUUAGAACUUCCAU
rnacentral:lncRNA from 1 species